rnacentral:rRNA from 1 species
CCUACGGGGGGCAGCAGUGAGGAAUAUUGGUCAAUGGACGAGAGUCUGAACCAGCCAAGUAGCGUGAAGGAUGACUGCCCUAUGGGUUGUAAACUUCUUUUAUAAAGGAAUAAAACGAGGCACGUGUGCCUUUUUGCAUGUACUUUAUGAAUAAGGAUCGGCUAACUCCGUGCCAUCAGCCGCGGUAAUACGGAGGAUCCGAGCGUUAUCCGGAUUUAUUGGGUUUAAAGGGAGCGUAGAUGGGUUGUUAAGUCAGUUGUGAAAGUUUGCGUCUCAACCGUAAAAUUGCAAUUGAUACUGGUAGUCUUGAGUACAGUUGAGGUAGGCGGAAUUCGUGGUGUAGCGGUGAAAUGCUUAGAUAUCACGAAGAACCCCGAUUGCGAAGGCAGCUUACUAAACUGUGACUGACAUUGAUGCUCGAAAGUGUGGGUAUCAAACAGGAUUAGAUACCCCAGUAGUC